rnacentral:rRNA from 1 species
GACGAACGCUGGCGGCGUGCUUAACACAUGCAAGUCGAACGGAAAGGCCCUGCUUUUGUGGGGUGCUCGAGUGGCGAACGGGUGAGUAACACGUGAGUAACCUGCCCUUGACUUUGGGAUAACUUCAGGAAACUGGGGCUAAUACCGGAUAGGAGCUCCUGCUGCAUGGUGGGGGUUGGAAAGUUUCGGCGGUUGGGGAUGGACUCGCGGCUUAUCAGCUUGUUGGUGGGGUAGUGGCUUACCAAGGCUUUGACGGGUAGCCGGCCUGAGAGGGUGACCGGCCACAUUGGGACUGAGAUACGGCCCAGACUCCUACGUGAGGCAGCAGUGGGGAAUAUUGCACAGUGGGCGGAAGCCUGAUGCAGCAACGCCGCGUGCGGGAUGACGGCCUUCGGGUUGUAAACCGCUUUCGCCUGUGACGAAGCGUGAGUGACGGUAAUGGGUAAAGAAGCACCGGCUAACUACGUG